GUCUUGUUAGUAUAACUUUGUACUACUGAUUUCCAAUCAGAGAGAUUGCUUUUAAGCAAACAAGAUA
rnacentral:tRNA from 1 species